CAGCAGCCGCGGUAAUACGUAGGUGGCAAGCGUUGUCCGGAAUUAUUGGGCGUAAAGGGCUCGCAGGCGGUUUCUUAAGUCUGAUGUGAAAGCCCCCGGCUCAACCGGGGAGGGUCAUUGGAAACUGGGAAACUUGAGUGUAGAAGAGGAGAAUGGAAUUCCACGUGUAGCGGUGAAAUGCGUAGAGAUGUGGAGGAACACCAGUGGCGAAGGCGACUCUCUGGUCUGUAACUGACGCUGAGGAGCGAAAGCGUGGGGAGCGAACAGGAUUAGAUACCCGCGUAGUCCCUGUCUCUUAUAC
rnacentral:rRNA from 1 species